GAAAGUCUGACCGAGCAACGCCGCGUGAGUGAAGAAGGUUUUCGGAUCGUAAAACUCUGUUGGUAGAGAAGAACGUUGGUGAGAGUGGAAAGCUCAUCAAGUGACGGUAACUACCCAGAAAGGGACGGCUAACUACGUGCCAGCAGCCGCGGUAAUACUG
rnacentral:rRNA from 1 species